AAACAGCACCAUCCUCACUACUCCACCCAUGCUUCUCUGAAACUUUCUUUCAUCAUGGCCGUUCGAGCAGUAGCCACCUGCUCCCUCUUCCGCCCUCCCUCUCCGUCCCUCUUCUCCGCCACCCUCCGCCUCUACUCCUCUCGCUACCGCUUCUCCCGCUCCCUCCGUCAUGCCUCCCACUCCCACGCCCGCUCCAUCCACUCUGUCUUCGACACUGUCAUGGAAGAGCUCCGUGCCACGCGCAGAAGCCGCCACAAGCGCGUUUCCGCCGCG
rnacentral:lncRNA from 1 species